rnacentral:lncRNA from 1 species
AGUUACAGAUGAAAGUAGAUGAUGCUGGAGAAAUGAGAGACUAGUGGACAGUGAGUAAAAGACGCGAUCCCGAACUUUCUCCCGAGGCAACAUGGAAGGUGACACAGUUGAGAAACAAAAGGUUGGACACAACUUGGAAAUCCAAACCGAAAAAGGAGAAGGUAAGCCCAAUCUGAUAAAAGAAGCUGUCUAUCAUAAAG